rnacentral:rRNA from 1 species
GGGCCCGCACAAGCAGUGGAGUAUGUGGUUUAAUUCGAAGCAACGCGAAGAACCUUACCAGGGCUUGACAUACCUCUGACCGCCUUAGAGAUAAGGCUUCCCUUCGGGGCAGAGGAUACAGGUGGUGCAUGGUUGUCGUCAGCUCGUGUCGUGAGAUGUUGGGUUAAGUCCCGCAACGAGCGCAACCCUUGUCGUUAGUUGCCAUCAUUCAGUUGGGCACUCUAGCGAAACUGCCGGUGACAAAUCGGAGGAAGGUGGGGACGACGUCAAAUCAUCAUGCCCCUUAUGUCCUGGGCUACACACGUACUACAAUGGCCGUUAACAACAGGAAGCGAAGCCGCGAGGUGGAGCAAAUCCCCAAAAACGGUCUCAGUUCGGAUUGCAGGCUGAAACUCGCCUGUAUGAAGUCGGAAUUGCUAGUAAUCGCGAAUCAGCAUGUCG